rnacentral:tRNA from 1 species
UUAGGACGUGGCCGAGAUAGUCAGGCAACUCUUUUACACUGAGCGCACAUCCAUGCAAUUUGGGUCGUCCUAAGCCA